rnacentral:rRNA from 1 species
AAAACAUGUCUUUUUGUUUAAAAUAUAAAGUCUAACCUGCCCAUUGAUUUAAUAUUAAAAGGCCGCAGUAUAUUGACUGUGCAAAGGUAGCAUAAUCAUUUGUCUCUUAAUUAGAGGCUUGAAUGAAUGGUUGGAUGAAAAAUUAACUGUCUCUUUUUAAUAAAUUAUGAAUUUAAAUUUUAAGUAAAAAUACUUAAAUAAAUUUAAAAGACGAGAAGACCCUAUAGAUUUUUAUUUUUAUAUAAUAUAUAUUUAUAAGAAUAUUAAUUAAUUAUUUAUUAUAUAAUAAUUUGAUUGGGGUGAUUAAAAAAUUUAAUUAACUUUUUAUUUUAUUAAACAUUAAUUUAUGAAAAUUUGAUCCUUUUUUAGUGAUUGAAAGAUUAAAUUACCUUAGGGAUAACAGCGUAAUUUUUUUGAAGAGUUCUUAUCAAUAAAAAAGAUUGCGACCUCGAUGUUGAAUUAAAAGUUAUAUUUAAAUGCAGAAGUUUAAAUGUUAGGUCUGUUCGACCUUUAAUUUUUUACAUGAUCU